AACGGGUGCGUAAUGCGCAUGCAAUCUACUUUACACUGGGGAAUAGCCUCCGGAAACGGGAAUUAAUACCUCAUACAAUCUUAUUAACGCAUGUUAAAAAGAUAAAAGCUCCGGCGGUGUAAAAUGAGCGUGCGUCCUAUUAGCUAGUUGGUGAGGCAAUGGCUCACCAAGGCUACGAUGGGUAGGGGUUCUUAGUGGAAGAUCCCCCACACUGGCACUGAGAUACGGGCCAGACUCCUACGGGAGGCAGCAGUAGGGAAUAUUGGUCAAUGGGCGCAAGCCUGAACCAGCCAUGCCGCGUGCAGGAUGAAAGCUCUCUGAGUUGUAAACUGCUUUUGUACAGGAGCAAAAAAAUCCCUGCGGGGAUUCUUGAGAGUACUGUAAGAAUAAGCACCGGCUAAUUCCGUGCCAGCAGCCGCGGUAAUACGGAAGGUGCAAGCGUUAUCCGGUUUUAUUGGGUUUAAAGGGUGCGUAGGCGGYUUAUUAAGUCUGCUGUGAAAGCCCUGGGCUCAACCUGGGAAUUGCAGUGGAUACUGGCUGACUAGAAUGUGGCAGAGGGUARCGGAAUUCCUGGUGUAGCAGUGAAAUGCGUAGAGAUCAGGAGGAACAUCCGUGGCGAAGGCGGCUACCUGGGCCAACAUUGACACUGAGGCACGAAAGCGUGGGGAGCAAACAGGAUUAGAUACCCUGGUAGUCCACGCCCUAAACGAUGCGAACUGGAUGUUGGGUGCAAUUUGGCACGCAGUAUCGAAGCUAACGCGUUAAGU
rnacentral:rRNA from 1 species